GAUGAAGAACGUAGCGAAAUGCGAUACGUAAUGUGAAUUGCAGAAUUCAGUGAAUCAUCGAAUCUUUGAACGCAUAUUGCGCUCUCUGGUAUUCCGGAGAGCAUGCUUGUUUGAGUAUCAGUAAACACCUCAACUCCCUUUCUUCUUGAAAUGGAGCUGGACUUGAGUGAUCCCAACGCUUUAUUCAUAAAGUGGCGGGUUACUUGAAAUGCAGGUGCAGCUGGACUUUUCUCUGAGCUAUAAGCAUAUCUAUUUAGUCUGCCUCAAAACAGAUUAUUACCUUUGCUGCAGCUAACAUAAAGGAGAUUAGUUCUUGUGCUGACUGAUGCAGGAUUCACAAAGACCGCUUCGGCUGUCUUUGUAAACUCGAUCUCAAAUCAAGUAAGACUACCCGCUGAACUUAAGCAUAUCAAUAGCGGAGGA
rnacentral:misc_RNA from 1 species